CUCCUCCCCGCGGCCUCGCCCCGUCCCGCUGCCGGGCCCGGACUGCGCGCCGGCCCGGUGGUGGGUCUUUCCAGUGAGGGAAAGAAAACAUGUACAACUUGCCAUAAAGUCUGUGCUGCACACUUUUUGGAGAGCGAGAUUACUGCGACUGAAAGGCCAGCAGGAAUACACAUGAAAAAAGGGCGUAAAAGUCUGCCACAGAUCGCUUCAGGUUGUGUCUGAACUGUAGGACAGAUGCAUUUUGUGGUGCAACCCUCUGUCCUGAUCCUCUGAUAUCCCAAGCUGGGGACAUAUUGAGUUUAAUAGCAAGCAACUGGUGCUUGUCACCAGGUUUCUUGUUAUGGAAAUAAAAAGGAUAAAGUAUACAUCCCUAGUCCUGAUAUGAGGUCAGGAUAUGGUUGGGGCAUCUUCUGGGAAUAAAGAAUAUGUGGGUCCCGCAGUUCAGAUGCUGCCAUCACAAAAUCCCAGAAAACCCUCAACCCCUGAAUCUGAGAGCCCCUAGUCAUAAUGUACUGCUGUACACGCAUACCUGGUUUUAUUGUGCUUUGCUUUAUUGCACUUUGCAGACAUUGUGGUCUUUACAAAUUGAAGGCUUGUGGCAAUGCUGCAUUGAGCAAGUCUAUCGGUGCUGUUUUUCCAACAGCACGUGCUCACUACAUGUCUCUGUGUCACAUUUUGAUAAUUCUCGCUAUAUUUCAAACUUUUUCAUUAUUAUUAUAUCUUACGGUGAUCUGUGAUCAGUGGUCUUUGAUGUUACUAUUGUAAUUGUUUUGGAGUGCCACGAGCUGCACCCAUAAAAGACAGCAAACCUAAUUGAUAAAUGUUGUGUGUGUUCUGACUGCUGCACCGAUCGGCUGCUCCCCUGUCUUGCUCCCUCUCCUCGGGCCUCCCUAUUCCCUGAGACACAACAACAUUGAAAUUAGGCCAAUUAAUAACCCUACAAUGGCCUCUAAGUGUUCAGUCGCACGUGUCUCACUUGAAAUCAAAAGCUAGAAAUGACUAAGCUUAGUGAGGAAGGCACGUCGAAAGUCCAGACAGGCUGAAAGCUAGGCCCCUUGCGCCAAACAGUUAGCCAAGUUGUGGAUGCAAAGGAAAAGUUCUUGAAGGAAAUUAAAAGUGCUACUCCAAUGAACACAUGAAGGAGAAAAAAGCGAAACAGCCUUACUGCUGAUAUGGAGAAAGUUUUAGUGGUCUGGAUAGAAGACCAAAGCAGCCACGACAUUCCCUUAAGCCAAAGCCUAAUCCAGAGCAAGGCCCGAACUCUCUUCAGUUCUAUGAAGGCUGAGAGAGGUGAGGAAGCUGCAGAAGGAAAGUUUGAAGCUAGCGGAGGUUGCUUCAUGAGGUUUAAGGAAAGAAGCUGUCUCCAUAACAUAAAAGUGCAAGGUGAAGCAGCAGGUGCUGAUGUAGAAGCUGCAGCAAGUUAUCCAGAAGAUCUAGCUAAGAUAGUUGAGGAAGGUGGCUACACUAAAUGACAGAUUUAGAUGAAACAGCCUCAUAUUGGAAGAAGAUGCCAUCUAGGACUUUCAUAGCUAGAGAGGAGAAGUCAAUGCUUCUUAGGCAUGAGCAAAGAAAGUGGUUUCCUGAGAUGGAAUCUGCUCCUGGUGAAGAUGCUGUGAACAUUGUUGAAAUGACAGCAAAGGGUUUAGAAUAUUACAUAAACUUAGUUGAUAAGGCAGCGGCAGGGUUUGAGAGGACUGACUCCAAUUUUGAAAGAAAUUCUGUUGUGGGUAAAAUGCUAUCAAACAGCAUCGCAUGCUACAGAGAAAUCCUUCAUGAAAGGAAGAGUCAAUCAAUGCAGCAAGCUUCACUGCUGUCUUAUUUUAAGAAAUUGCCACAGCCACCCCUGCCUUCAGCAACCACCACCCUGAUCAGUCAGCAGCCAUCAACACUGAGGCAAGACCCUCCAUCAGCAAAAAGAUUACGACUCGCCGAAGGCUCAGAUGAUGGCUAGCAUCUUUUAGCAAUAAAGUAUUUUUAAAUUAUGUAGAUUGUUGUUUUUAGACAUAAUGCUAUUGCACACUUAAUAGACUACAGUAUAGUGUAAACAUAACUUUUAGAUGCACUGGGAAACCAAAAAAAUCAUGUGACUCACUUUGUUGCGAUAUUUGCUUUAUUGCGGUGGUCUGGAACCGAACCCACAAUAUCUCCAAGGUAUGCCUGUAUUUUCAUCCAUUCCUCCCUGUCUUUGCAAUGUGCACAUUGCAGUUUCAAUGUAUUCUAGAUGAACUCCUUUGAAGCCCUGAGUAACUAGCUGAGUGCUAAUUCAGUAUUUGGCCUGAUACUGGUACUAUGUGAAUCCACAAAUCCUAUGCUAAAGUAGAGUACUUUACCACCUUAGCUGUCUAUUCUUAUGGUGCUAGCACAAGCCUAGCAAGUAUUUCCUGGGCUUCCCAGCUCCUGGAACACGGAACACUAAGGUUUUGAUUUGUGCAAGGGGAGAAGGGAGAAUUGGUCUGGGUUUCUUAAAGUCUGUUCCUUUGUUGAUAGAGAGAGAAGUACAACAAUGUUACCCCUUACAAAAAAAAAAGAAAAAAGAACCAACAUAAAAAAUCGCAAUUUAAAUUUUCUACGUCAGUUUUUACCUUGGUUAAUCAGUUUCCAAUUUGCUUUACACUUCAGGUUAACUUCACUGGAAGCUGGAAUGAACAAAAAUCCUACUACUGUGCUACAGAAGUGCUGAAAUAGUAUAAGGAAGGCACAGUAUUACUCUAUGGUGUACCCAGAAACCAAGCUUCAUCCACCUGAGACACUGAAGUGGGACUGUUUGUAAUAAGCUCUGCAGAUAUUUCCCCAGAAAUGUUGCUGGGCCUUUCAGGCACUGGACUGUCUACCUCUGGGACUCCCUGUGUUGGGGAGCCCUGGUAUCUCAGUUAUCUAACCCUCUCCCAGGCACUCAAACACCACUCAGGCUUUACCCUUCCUGGGAUAUCCCUCUAGCUUAUCUAUGUAACAUUCAGGGGUUAGAUGAGAAGUGACAGUAAUUUUUGCUUGUUUCUGAUGCAUGUCACCUCUCAAAGCAAACUCUGCAGAUCUUUAUGAUAGGACGAUUUCCUCUUGUCUUACGUGCUGAUUACUAGCAAAAUUAAAUCGUGCUGACAUGUGAACCAUCAACAUGAGACAGCUAAGGCAAGCUGUGCUUUCAUGGAAGCUCGAGCCAACCUAAGAUCUAGGCACUGCAGUCCCACUCUUUUCACACUCAUGUGUGCCUGUUCUUUGCCUCCACCAGUUGCAGUGCCCAUUCGACCCUGUGCUGAACCUGUCCAGCCCACUGAGCCAGCAGAAACUGAACAGCACAGGGCCUAGCAAGCGUUGGAGCAUGAGACCUGGGAAUGGUGGCAAUGCUGCAGCCAGCAAUUACAUGGGUGCAGCCUCCUUGAGGAAAAUGGCAAAGUCCACACCUUGCAGUUUCAUACCCUUUCUGGAGUACCACGUAACUCACAAGCAGCUCAAAUAUGCCAUGUCUGAGCAGAAAGACUGCAAGGAUGCUGGAUGAUGUGAAUCCUAGCUGGGAGAAGGGUGAGCCAGUUGUUGGGCUGGCCUUGCUGAACUGGCCUUGGAUCCAGCUGUGCUCCUGGCCUCCCUCACUCCUGAGAUGCUGCUGCUGUCUCCCCACUCCAGCCUACUCCUGGCACCCCUCUACUCUGACAUAGCAGGUGCUAGCAGAGAUGCUACAACACACAGACAUUUCAAAAAUGUAAAAGUACCUUCUUGCUGAGCUGAGCCAUUGAGAAACAGGUACCUGCUCCCCGAUUUCUCCUGCCAAUAACCAGAUUCCGGUCUCCAAUGCCCAACAUCUCUGAAUUUCAAGCUCUUCCUAGACCCUCUGCCACUGCCUGACUCUCUUCAACUGUGCAGAGCCCUGUGUAGCUCCCAUGUGUUGGCGAUUGGGGAUUAUUUUGGAUCAAGGACUAAUGUUGAAAAAGAGAGAGGUUAUAAGCAUAAAUUAAGAUUAUAAUAUGCGUAGUGCUCAUCUUUGAUAGCCUAGGCCAUUAAGAACUUGGUCUUAAGGUAUGACACUGCAUCUAAGGCUAGAAUGAACUGCAGGAUUGUCCAGCCCAAAAUCCUGUAAUAACUUGACCUUUUCGGCACCACAUGCCCUUCAGCUUGAAAACGUUAUCCAGUUCUUGUUCUGUGAACAGGCUGGUUGCUUAGAGCUGGGAGAUCAAAAUUUUUCAUCUCCUCAGAGUCAUCAACUCUGAUUAUAUUUGAAAUAUUUUCUAUAGUUUUAGAGAUAUGUGGGUGAGAAUCAUAGGAUCUACCAAAAAAUGCCUUUGGCCUGAUGGUUGCAUGGAACAGUUUGAAAAUGCUAUAAACCUGAACCAUAGGGAUGAAGACCCACUAGGCAAGGAAGAAACACCCAAACAUAUUACUGAAAUAAAAACUCAUGAUGUGACUUGAAUGUCAUGAUUUUUGAAUGCUUAGAGUUAUCAGUAUUUCAUUUUAACAAUUAACUUCUUCCUACCAUCAAGAUGUUAAGGAAAUCUAAUUCUAACACAUUUUCUAAUUUACUAGGCCACUUUUGUAAUAUUUAUAUAAUCCUGAAGUAAGGAUUUCUAAUGUUGGAUAAUGCCAGAAACAUCAAUCAAAUUACCCCUGAUUCUUACAAAAAAUUACCUUUAUUCCAAAUGACUUAUUUUGAUCCUAAUAUGCUUAAUAUUAUGGAAGCACCCAGAGGCCUCAGUCAGAAUGUGCGACUCACAGAGUUGUAAAAAUAGCUAUAAAGACAUGGUAGCACUUAUCAGACAAAAUCUGUUCUGCCCUUUGCAGAUGAGACAUAUCCCAUCUGGCUCUCAGUAAAGCGGAAAGGCAUACAUGUUUCCAACUAGUAGAAGGAAGGCAAGAGGCUUUCAGUGUGAAAAGCUUGCUAAAAAUGCCGAAAUUGGACGGGAAGAGACAAAAGCCAAAAUCGCAUCAUUCUUCCUUUCCUUUCAUUCUGCAGGAAAUACAUAGAUACACUCGUGUACAUACAUAUGCAGAGGCAUAUAUACGUAUGCAUAAUUGAUUUUGCAAAAGAACAGAAUGGAAAAUGUACCAUUGCCAGUCUCUAAAUCCCAUUCCUUAUUUUCUAAACUUCCAGAGAAGGGAGAUUUGGGUCCCAACAUGAUCAGGGUUCCAUGUGUGAAAGAAAAAGAGAGGUUCAGUGUUGUAACAGAGGAAAGCAGAUCAUGUGCAGAGCCUGAACAGUCCUACUAGAGCUCUCCAGUGUAACGGUAAGACAUUAUGGAGGAACAGUUUCUACCUUUCAGAAGUGAGAGCAAUAUUAUGUAAACCCAGCCAAGUCUCUCACAUCCUGCAUGAGUUUCGCUUGAAUGUUUUUCCCAUCUACUUCUCCCCAAGGGCAUGUGCAUUUCACAUCCUGCCAACUGCAUGUUGCAGAAUCUCUGCUGCUCCAUGACUCCACAUGCAGACCCAGCUGUUCAGCCUGAUUCGAAAUUCACAAACUGGUUGUGUCUAGCACAUGGGUGCUAGAGUGGGAAGGAGGCUGCAGCACUAUGGAGUGUGUACCUUUUAUUGGUGUCUUGUGUGGAGAGAAUCAUACCCAGAAAGCAGAUGGGUGCCGUAGCUUUGCCUUUACCACCUGAACUGCACAUCUUUUUUGUGACCCUGUCUGCAGGCACAUCCCUGUCAAAUGAGCUGGUUGGCCCCUGUGGUGCCUCAUGGACUGGUGACAAAGAAUUUGAAGAUCCAUACUACUGUAUAAUAAACUAGCUAAGAAACUAAUUAAAGUGUUGCAGAGGCUGGAAAGUAAAGAAAUAAAGCAUUCAAGUAGAUGUAGUUAGCUUAAAGGCAUAAGACAUGUGGAAAAUACCACUGUGCAAAUACUUAAUGAUCAAUAAUAUUUUAGUUGUAAGGGCUAACCAUAUAGAGCUAUUGAUCAUUGUUUAGAAUUAUAAAAUCCUGCACUUUACAAUAAUGACCUCCAGUGAUUCUGAAAAAGUGCCGGUUCUGUUCUAGCUAGGACAGUAAAGGGUGGUCUUCAUCUGACAAAGUACAACGCCCAAGCUAAGUUCUCCCCUCUGUUUGUGGGGAGAGACUGGCACUUCUAGAGCACUUCUAAUGCAUCCUAAAGCAGGUCAGUAGGUAAAUAGGUUAGAUGAAGCAUAUGCUUCAAAAUGCUUCCCUUGAUUAUAAAGGAAGUCUUAAGUGACCAGCUCAGAGGAAGGUGUCUCUCUGAUAGCUAUCCAAAGCUGGGUGAAGUGAAUUCCACCCUUGAUGCCUUGCCCAAGCAAGGCUGCUAGCUGUGUGCACAGAGCACAGAAAGACCACCUCUCCACUGUGAAAGACAUGGUUGAACCAGAUGGGGCACACACAACAGGGGAUGUGUGAAGGAGAAACUGCAGUCAUAUCAUGUGAGAGUGCCUUACUUCCCUCCUGUUUUUCACACACAGGUGAUAAUGUGGCCACUCAGCUGUGCCAGGCACACCUGCCAAAAAAAUAUAAAACACAGUGAUGCUGUACUAAGAAUAUGAGUUGUCCAUGCUGCAGUGGGAAUACAGAGCCAGCUCCUCACCCCUUUAACCUCCUCACUAAAUCUGUACUUGCAGAAAUAAGAUUUUUUUUAGAACAAAAUUUAUGUCUGAGAUAUUUACUGUGGAACAACCAUAUCCAAUCCAUCAACUACAAUACCAGUUCACAGAGACACUGCAGUAAAGGAAAUGCAGGAAAACCUAUGUAAUUAACUGCAGAAGGAGUAAAAACAGGCAGAUGCUAUUUAUAGAAACUGCAGUUUGAGAGGACACGAAAGUUAGUAUCCUUACUGCAGCACCGCCAACUCUUCCUAUUUUAUGGUGAGUCUCUCACAAUAUUUGCUGCUGUUCUUAAAACUGCAUAUCCUCAUAUAAUGGGAUCUUAUAAGAAUCUUAGCUCACUAAGGCAAGAAAUCUUCAUGACUGGAAAAAAACCUGAAUCUGUGAACUCUAAAAGCAGAAAAUAAAUAAAUUCAAUGUAUGUUUGUUAAAGCACUGUGAUUUUUAAAGCAGUUCUGAGUUUUUUAAUCUUGGUAUUUUUUAACAGCAAUGGCUUGGUAAUGAUUCUACACAUAUAGAAGCAUAGGAUUUCCUGUAUGCAUGGAGGCAAAACUGCAGUUUUAUGUCUCUUUGAAAAGAAAAUACCGUUGCAGGAUAUUGUUCCUGAAUGCCAAGUUAAGGUAGCAGUGGUUCAAAUUAAAAGAUCUUAAUAACCCAUCACAGUUAUAUUUUCCUAUAUCUAGGUUUCUUGAAAAUUUUCCCCAAAAGACCAAUUAGAGUUGCUUGAAUGAGUUUUUACAAAUAGUUUGUCUGAGGAAAGCUAUGCCUUUGCUUGAGAUUUAACGAAGGAAAGUUGGGGACUCUUCUGCUGUUUGUUCAUUAUUCAGUAUUGCUUGAAGAGAAAGUUGUGCAAACCAAUAUUACCACGUGGUUUGUUUGCUGACUGGUCACUAUGGUCAGGUUCCCUGUUGGAUUGUGUGACCAGACAGGUUAAAAAAAGACUUCUAUUCAGUUCAGAUGCUGGGUACACAGAUAAAAGAGGUGUUUACAGGCUCUUUUCCGUCCUGGGAAGACUAAGGCAGUCCUAAGUCUUCCACAUGUCUAAGCUAGCACUGAUUUAUUGUCUCCUGCCCUAGCAUUGGCUCAGAAUGGUCAGACUUAGUACUAAAUGGUGUAAAUGGACUGUAAAAAACAAGAUUUGAAAAGAAAGAGAAGAAAAAACCCAAUAGCCAAAGAGUCAAAGGGUGACUUUCCUGCCUUUGGGGAACUCAUCUGUCAGUAGAACUGAUCAGAAAAAAAUCUGCUUUCACUGAGCCGAACAUCUUUGGCUGAAACUUAAUGAGUUUGAAGAACUUUCACUGAAUAUAAAGCAGCAUUCUCUGGGUUGCCUGUUGGGUUUGUCAUGAGGCUCAUGAUACUGUUUAUGAAGAGGUUUGACCCUUGAAGAGUCUGUUCUUCCACUUGCCCUGGAGGCAAGGGUGCUGUACUUGCUGAGAUCCCCAUCUCAGCAGCACUCAUAUCUGGUAGCUGGGGCCCAUCUAGCUGCUCAGUCAGCUUGACAAGCUUGUUAAAUUGCUUGCUCAUAUUAGCAGAGAAGCCAUCAAGUUCAGGAUUUCAGGAAUUGCUGUUUGCAAAAUAUUUAAAGAAAAAAAGGAUUUGGGACCAAUUCAGACUACCUGCAAAUUAAAAAAGUGGGAAUUCCUUGUGAUACGGAAACCCAAGCUCCUGACAAGCACUACUUUUAACACCAGUGCUCAAAUUCAGUGUUCAAUGCUGAAAUCCAACCAAAUAGUUGUUUGCUAGGCCCUUAAAACUUCUAAGCACUGAUUUCUAAAAGACUGCAUGCAUUAAAAACACUGUUGAUAUAUGUCAACCUUAUUGUCUGUGUUUGUAUUAUGCACAACUGAUUGUACGUAAUAAGUCAUGCUUUUGGCCCACUAAAGCUGAUGGGCUUCAGUGGGGUCCUGCUUUUAAUAUGAGUACCUAAUCAAGUGUUUCUGCAGUGCUAAGUAGGUGUGGUCUAGCUUCUACUGAAGUCAGUUAAAAAGAUCUCAUGAAAUGAAUUUCCAAUGGUUUAAAAACUGAUAAAGACUCAGAGGUGCUCAUUAUUUGUUUGUUCUGGUGUAAUAGUGAAAUGGAUAUUCUGCAGAGAUAGGGCUUCAUCUUACUGUGCUGCAGGCCUCUCUGCUGUGAAGCAAGCAAUAGCUUGUCAAAGGUGCAUGCAAAUGGCGUAUUUACAAGUAUCAGGUACAGCUAGGUACAAAUGAGGAAUGUACAUCACACCUUCACAGAAGCAGCUGAAAGUCCUACAAGAUGACUUCUAAUUCAGCCUUCCCUAACACAGUAAAUGGAAGCUUGUACAUCAAAGAUUGUAUAUUAAAAAUGGGAGGAGAGGCUUCUUAUAAUUGACUAGCUUUUCCCAGGUUUGAAAAACCAAAACGUCAGUGCUGGCAUUCUUCUGAUCUGGAAGUAACUCUCAGUAGUAGAAAAAAGGGUAGUUUGUUUUUCCCUGUCAUCCAGAGAAUGGGAAACAUGCAAACUGGCUCCUCACAAAGAGUGGUGCUUCUGUGGUGCUGUGCUGUGUAGGCUUACUUGCUUUGGAAGUUGCUACUUUUGCUUUGUCAGCAGCAUCGCUGAUCCAUGUAUCUUUCCUUACUCCAGUCUUCCCUCAUUGCAUGUCCUGCUGGCCUGAUUUAAACAGGUUUUUACUAUCUGUCACACUGUGUCUAUCAUAUAGUAUAUAGACAUAUAAUACUGUGUACAUUAAUAUUGAAAUCUGAGAGAAUUCAGUAGAGCAUUGGUUGGCUCUAUUAAAUCAAUCACUUUCAUUAAUCCACAGCAAUAAUUUCAGGACUAAUAUCCCAUACUGGAACUGAAGCUCCAGUAUUCCUUGCAGGAGAAGCACUGGACCUGAGAUAACUAUUGUUUUAAAUAAAUAAUAUGUGGGAAACCAAAAGGAAUGUGAGUGAAAGGGUGGUGUUUCAACAGCAGUUAGAAGAAAUCUGAGGAGCAGCCAGCAUAAUAAAUUUAAAGGGUGGAGGAGAAUUGCAAUGGCAACAUAAUGUUUUGAUCAAAAUAAAGUACUUUUCACAUGUAAUGGAACACCAGCCCAUGAAUUUUUAAGACCCAUGUAUUCAACAAGAACAGGAUACCUUUCAAUUUUACAGGCUAAUACAUCUUCAUAUUAAGAAAGGAUAUAUCUUAUAAUUCUCUUUCAACAAAAUACCAU